GGUCUUAACACAUGCGAGUCGAGCGGUAACAGGAGAAGCUUGCUUCUCGCUGACGAGCGGCGGACGGCUGAGUAAUACGUUAGGAAUCUACGCUAGCUAUGUGGGGGAUAGCUCGGGGAAACUCGAAUUAAUACCGCAUACUAACCUACGGGAGAAAGGGGGCAACUUGUUGCUCUCGCUAUUAUAUGAUCCUAAGUCGGAUUAUCUAUAUGGUGGGGUAAAGGCCUACCAUGGCGACUAUCUGUAGCUGGUCUGAUAGGAUGAUCAGCCACACCGGGACUGAGACACGGCCCGGACUCCACGGGAGGCAGCAUUGGGGAAUAUUGGACAAUGGGGGCAACCCUGAUCCAGCCGUGCCGCAGUGUGUGAAGAAGGCCUUUUGGUUGUAAAGCACUUUAAGCAGUGAAGAAUACUCCAUGGUUAAUACCCAUGGACGAUGACGUUAGCUGCUUAAUAAGCACCGGCUAACUCUGUGCCAUCAUCCGCGGGAAUACAGAGGGUGCAAGCGUUAAUCGGAAUUACUGCGCGUAAAGCGAGCGUAGGUGGCUUGAUAAGUCAUAUGUGAAAGCCCCGGGCUUAACCUGGGAACGGCAUCUGAUACUGUUAGGCUAGAGUAGGUGAGAGGAAGGUAGAAUUCCAGGUGUACCGGUGAAAUGCGUAGAGAUCUGGAGGAUUACCGAUGGCGAAUGCAGCCAUCUGGCAUCAUACUGACACUGAGGUUCGAAAGCGUGGGUAGCAAACAGGAUUAGAUACCCUGGUAGUCCACGCCGUAAACGAUGUCUACUAGUCGUUGGGUUCCUUGAGGACUUA
rnacentral:rRNA from 1 species